AAACCCUUACCGAAAGCAAUUGGAGGGCAAGUCUGGUGCCAGCAGCCGCGGUAAUUCCAGCUCCAAUAGCGUAUAUUAAAGUUGUUGCAGUUAAAAAGCUCGUAGUUGAAGUUCUGGCUGCUUGACCCUCGAGCUCUGUAGCCGAGGGCUCAGCAGUCAUCCGCUUGCAAAUAUAUGUUCGCCUUUAACCGGGCGGCUAUAUGAGUAAGCAUUUUACCUUGAGAAAAACAGAGUGUUCCAGGCAGGUUUGUCCGGAAUGCAUUAGCAUGGAAUAAUAGAAUAUGACUGAAGUCGAUUCAUUGGUUUGAGGCUUUAGUAAUGAUUAAUAGGAACAGUCGGGGGCAUUGGUACUUGUCAGUCAGAGGUGAAAUUCUAGGAUUUGACAAAGACUAACAAAUGCGAAAGCAUUUGCCAAGGAUGUUUUCAUUAAUCAAGAACGAAAGUUAGGGGAUCAAAGACGAUCAGAUACCGUCCUAGUCUUAACUAUAAACUAUACCGACUCGGAUUCAGAUGAAUCAUAAAGUUCAUUUGGGACCGUAGGAGAAAUCAAAGUUUUUGGGUUCUGGGGGAAGUAUGGUCGCAAGGCUGAAACUUAAAGGAAUUGACGGUUUUGCACCACCAUGGAGUGGAGCCUGCGGCUUAAUUUGACCCAACACUGGGAAACUCAUCAGGGCAAGAAGAUUGUAGGAUUGACAGAUUGAGAGUUCUUUCUUGAUUGGUCUAGUGGUGGUGCAUGGCCGUUCUUAGUUGGUGGAGUGAUUUGUCUGGUUAAUUCCGUUAACGAACGAGACCUUAACCUGCUAACUAGUACACCGAUGACAAAUCGGUAAUACUUCUUAGAGGGACUAUGUGAUGUAAUCACAUGGAAGUUUGAGGCAAUAACAGGUCUGUGAUGCCCUUAGAUGUCCUGAGCUGCACGCGUACUACAAUGGUGCUUUCAUCGAGCUUUUCCUGUUACGAAAGGAUUUGGGUAAUCUUUUUAGUGAGCACCGUGCUUGGGAUAGAUCUUUGUAAUUAUGGAUCUUGAACUAGGAAUUCCUAGUAAGCACGUGUCAUCAGCACGUGCUGAUUACGUCCCUGCAAAAUGUACACACCGCCCGUCGCUAUUACCGAUUGAGUGUAAAGGUGAACCUUCUCGAUAGGCGCAAGCUUAGAAAUUAAGUAAACCUUUGCACUUAGAGGAAAUAAA
rnacentral:rRNA from 1 species